AAUUAAAACAGAAAGUUUUAAUUGUCAAAAUAGUAAAAUAUAUUUAGCAAAUAAAACAAAAUUUAAUUCGGAUGGUGACAGUGGAGUGGUCUUAUAAUAAUCUGGAUGUCUGCAAUUUUUGUUCCUGUUCACCGUUUUUGAUGCAUUUUCCCAGAACUCCUGUAAAAGAACUGGUUUUGCGAUGGAAAAAGUUCAUGUCAAUAUAUUGAAUUCAAACAGUUUCAUUUGUUUUUGCGUCUACAAAACCAUAGGUCACGCACCCACAUAUCGACUCGGAAUCUCUUUGAAUCGUUCGCCCACCGUCUGUACAUGUAAAUAUUCUAAUCAAGCUACGGAUCGCAAUUCUGAAGGCAACUUAAUUUGAGAUUCGAAGAAUACUGUUAUGGAUAAUCCGCGGAGAUUUUCAAGCAGAUAUACACCUAAAUUUCAUAUGUAAAUAUAUUCCUAAAAUAAGAUAAAAUUAAUUGUUUAAAGGAAAAUAAUACAA